CAUUAAGUGGCUGAAUAUUCAAGCAUUGGUCUCUUAAACCAAAUCAUAGUAAAUAAUAAAUACUCUUAAUG
rnacentral:tRNA from 1 species